rnacentral:rRNA from 1 species
AGAGUUUGAUCCUGGCUCAGGACGAACGCUGGCGGCGUGCUUAACACAUGCAAGUCGAACGGAAAGGCCCCUUCGGGGGUACUCGAGUGGCGAACGGGUGAGUAACACGUGGGUGAUCUGCCCUGCACUUUGGGAUAAGCCUGGGAAACUGGGUCUAAUACCGAAUAGGACCGCAUGCUUCAUGGUGUGUGGUGGAAAGCUUUUGCGGUGUGGGAUGGGCCCGCGGCCUAUCAGCUUGUUGGUGGGGUAAUGGCCUACCAAGGCGACGACGGGUAGCCGGCCUGAGAGGGUGUCCGGCCACACUGGGACUGAGAUACGGCCCAGACUCCUACGGGAGGCAGCAGUGGGGAAUAUUGCACAAUGGGCGCAAGCCUGAUGCAGCGACGCCGCGUGGGGGAUGACGGCCUUCGGGUCGUAAACCUCUUUCAGUAUCGGCGAAGCUUCAAGAUUCUUCUUGGGGUGACGGUAGGUACAGAAGAAGCACCGGCCAACUACGUGCCAGCAGCCGCGGUAAUACGUAGGGUGCGAGCGUUGUCCGGAAUUACUGGGCGUAAAGAGCUCGUAGGUGGUUUGUCACGUUGUCCGUGAAAACUCACAGCUUAACUGUGGGCGUGCGGGCGAUACGGGCAGACUAGAGUACUGUAGGGGAGACUGGAAUUCCUGGUGUAGCGGUGGAAUGCGCAGAUAUCAGGAGGAACACCGGUGGCGAAGGCGGGUCUCUGGGCAGUAACUGACGCUGAGGAGCGAAAGCGUGGGGAGCGAACAGGAUUAGAUACCCUGGUAGUCC